rnacentral:rRNA from 1 species
AGUGAACGCUGGCGGUAGGCCUAACACAUGCAAGUCGAACGGCAGCACAGUAAGAGCUUGCUCUUACGGGUGGCGAGUGGCGGACGGGUGAGGAAUACAUCGGAAUCUACUUUUUCGUGGGGGAUAACGUAGGGAAACUUACGCUAAUACCGCAUACGACCUACGGGUGAAGCAAGGGAUCUUCGGACCUUGCGCGCUUGAAUUAGCCGAUGUCGGAUUAGCUAGUUGGCGGGGUAAAGGCCCACCAAGGCGACGAUCCGUAGCUGGUCUGAGAGGAUGAUGAGCCACACUGGAACUGAGACACGGUCCAGACUCCUACGGGAGGCAGCAGUGGGGAAUAUUGGACAAUGGGCGCAAGCCUGAUCCAGCCAUACCGCGUGGGUGAAGAAGGCCUUCGGGUUGUAAAGCCCUUUUGUUGGGAAAGAAAAGCAGCAGGUUAAUACCCCGCUGUUCUGACGGUACCCAAAGAAUAAGCACCGGCUAACUUCGUG